UACGUAGGGUGCGAGCGUUGUCCGGAAUUAUUGGGCGUAAAGAGCUUGUAGGCGGUUUGUCGCGUCUGCCGUGAAAUUUCGAGGCUCAACCUCGAACUUGCGGUGGGUACGGGCAGACUAGAGUGUGGUAGGGGAGACUGGAAUUCCUGGUGUAGCGGUGAAAUGCGCAGAUAUCGGAAGGAACACCUGUGGCGAAAGCGGCUCACUGGACCAUUACUGACGCUGAUGCACGAAAGCUAGGGGAGCAAACAGG
rnacentral:rRNA from 1 species